GAUGAACGCUGGCGGCGUGCCUAAUACAUGCAAGUCGAGCGAACGGACGAGAAGCUUGCUUCUCUGAUGUUAGCGGCGGACGGGUGAGUAACACGUGGAUAACCUACCUAUAAGACUGGGAUAACUUCGGGAAACCGGAGCUAAUACCGGAUAAUAUUUUGAACCGCAUGGUUCAAAAGUGAAAGACGGUCUUGCUGUCACUUAUAGAUGGAUCCGCGCUGCAUUAGCUAGUUGGUAAGGUAACGGCUUACCAAGGCAACGAUGCAUAGCCGACCUGAGAGGGUGAUCGGCCACACUGGAACUGAGACGCGGUCCAGACUCCUACGGGAGGCAGCAGUAGGGAAUCUUCCGCAAUGGGCGAAAGCCUGACGGAGCAACGCCGCGUGAGUGAUGAAGGUCUUCGGAUCGUAAAACUCUGUUAUUAGGGAAGAACAUAUGUGUAAGUAACGGUGCACAUCUGGACGGUACCUAAGCAGAAAGCCACGGCUAACUACGG
rnacentral:rRNA from 1 species